rnacentral:rRNA from 1 species
CCUACGGGAGGCAGCAGUGAGGAAUCUUGGUCAAUGGCCGGAAGGCUGAACCAGCCAAGCCGCGUGAAGGACGAAGGUGCCAAGCAUUGUAAACUUCUUUUGUCAAGGGACAAAAUCAGGCUCGAGAGCCUGACCGAGGGUACUUGAAAAAAAAGCAUCGGCUAACUCCGUGCCAGCAGCCGCGGUAAUACGUAGGAGGCAAGCGUUAUCCGGAAUGACUGGGCGGAAAGGGUGCGUAGGUGGUUUGGCAAGUUGGUAGCGUAAUCCCGGGGCUCAACCUCGGUGCUACUACCAAAACUGUUGAACUUGAGUGCAGGAGGGGUGAAUGGAAUUCCCAGUGUAGCGGUGGAAUGCGUAGAUAUUGGGAAGAACACCAGCGGCGAAGGCGAUUCACUGGACUGUAACUGACACUGAGGCACGAAAGCGUGGGGAGCAAACAGGAUUAGAUACCCUAGUAGUC